rnacentral:lncRNA from 10 species
AAACAAAAUUGCUUGGGUCCCUCCACCUUGCCUUUUCACUCUCUAUUAGUUUUUAAAGAGUGGCUUGAGUCACAGUGAAGGUGGAGAAAAAGCAGAAGCAAAGACAGAAGCCCAUUCAAUCAGGACUACAUAUGCCCUCGCAGGUGCUGGAGCAUGGGAAGGCUAGCCCGCUGCCAGCCACAUGGAGUGGGAGGAUCACGGAGCCUGAAGCUGAGAGGCCACAGCACUGCACCUGACAUAUAUUACCAACUUGCCAUGCAACUUCAUCUCAUUGACUCCGCAUUCCCAUUUUUUGGAGUGGAUCACCUGCAGUUCCCUUGACAACUGAGUGUCUGUAUUUUUCUGUAUCGUCCAGUGUGAUGACAACUGUCUACACAACCAAGUCUGGCCAGCACUGAACACACUCAGCUUCCCCACAGUGCUCCAAGUCUCAAAGCCCAAACUGCAGCCAAAUCUUGGCAGUGUUGUCCUCUGGUCAGGCCAGAGCACCUUUCUGAAGGACCUUUCUGAACAUUUUUAGACCAUUCGAUGAAUGACCCUAAAUUCUUGGCGCAUAAUUGGGACUGCUGCCAUCACGCCAGAAACAUUUAUUAAGCACUUACUGUGUACAGUGCUCAAGACCUGCCAUCUUGUUUCCAUCUUGACAACAAUGAUGCACAGUAGGGGUUGUCAUUCCCCGUUUCAGAGAAGAGUAAAGCUCAGCAGUGGCCCAGUAACUUGCCCAAGGCCACACAGCUACUGGGUGGCAGAACUGAAUUAAACCCUCCACUUUUUGACUCUAACACCUUUGCCUCCCUCCUUAGGGCGCAGGCACACCCAGCCAGGCUGAGAGGCACUCAGGCACUCUCGAACUUCAUGUUUGUCAUGCAUACAUAUGACUUCCUUCGACUUCUCUGCAAAUUUCCACCAUAUGCAUUUCCAUAGCAACAUUGCAACACAAACACGGUGUAAUCUUUGUCCACUGCAGUACAUAGCUUGAAAGGUUUUUUUGUUUUGUUUUGUUGUUUUGUUUUAAAUAAAAAGGAGCUGCAUAUGUUUACAGCUGACCUAGAUCCCAUGGCAACAAAUAACAGAUAUAAAC